GACGAACGCUGGCGGCGUGCCUAAUACAUGCAAGUUGAGCGAUGAAGCUUGGUGCUUGCACCAAUUUGAAGAGCAGCGAACGGGUGGGUAACGCGUGGGGAAUCUGCCUUUGAGCGGGGGACAACAUUUGGAAACGAAUGCUAAUACCGCAUAACAACUUUAAACAUAAGUUUUAAGUUUGAAAGAUGCAAUUGCAUCACUCAAAGAUGAUCCCGCGUUGUAUUAGCUAGUUGGUGAGGUAAAGGCUCACCAAGGCGAUGAUACAUAGCCGACCUGAGAGGGGGAUAGGCCACAUUGGGACUGAGACACGGCCCAAACUCCUACGGGAGGCAGCAGUAGGGAAUCUUCGGCAAUGGAAGAAAGUCUGACCGAGCAACGCCGCGUGAGUGAAGAAGGUUUUCGGAUCGUAAAACUCUGUUGGUAGAGAAGAACGUUGGUGAGAGUGGAAAGUUCAUCAAGUGACGGUAACUACCCAGAAAGGGACGGCUAACUACGUG
rnacentral:rRNA from 1 species